rnacentral:lncRNA from 1 species
AUUGGUGUCUUCUUGGUUCAUCCUUGCCCUGCAGAAGUGGAUCAUAGACCUGGCCAUGAAUCUAUGUACUUUCAUCAGCGCGGCCAGUAAGUUUGCACAGCUCCAGUGUCUGUGGAAGACGAGAGACUCAGGAACUGUGAGUGCGCUGACUUGGAGCCUCUCUUCCUAUACCUGUGCAACAAGAAUAAUCACAACCUUAAUGACCACCAAUGAUUUUACAAUUCUUCUACGUUUUGUGAUCAUGCUGGCUUUAAAUAUAUGGGUAACAGUGACAGUACUUCGCUACCGGAAGACCGCUAUAAAGGCUGAAUGAUGGAUACAUUAUUCCUUCACACAGUGGAUUUUGAGUAACUGAACCAAAGGAAAAAGAAGCUCUUUGCUAAAUUAAGGUCUUUUAUAAAUUUAGUAAAUCAGUUUAUAAUCUUUAAAGCCAAAGGUUUUUUUAGACUUGAAAGAAAGAGCCACUUAAAUUCUUGUUUAAAAAUACCAAUUUGCCUCCUCCUUCCUCACUUCGUUAGGUUAUGGUAGUGCUCAGACAUCUGCAGUGUUGAGGCCAGUCACUGUUGGAAGUCAUCCAAGAAGCCCAUUUUGAGGCCAUUUUGAGCCUUACUCUUAAGUUCUCUAUGAAGAACUACAUUGAUUUGUUGGCUUUCAGAAUCUUUUAGGAAAUAAAUCCUCUCCAGGACAAAAAUGAACAUGAAUGGAGUGGCAUUUUGUUCCAAGUCAGAGGUGGGCACCUAUAAUAAAUGACUAGGGUUCACUUUCUGGGACUGAUGUUUAAUUGUAACACAGAUACAACAGGGUGGCCUUGUUGUGUAUAAUACGGUAUUAUACCCGCAUGUGCUCUAGCAAGGAUACCAAGGCAAGCAUACAUGUAGCUGGCUUGAGUUUGUACCAAAACAGUCCUUCAACUUUGCACUGUGCCUUAAGUAAUUACUAACAAAAGGUACUAGGAUUAGCUGCAAUCUCUACUUUCGAUGAGGAAAUCCCAGUAAGCUUUCUGAUUCAAGUACAAUGCUGCCAUUUUUUAAAGGGCCACAACUAUAGAAUUACCACUGUUGGAAUUUGGUACAAAAUAUGUUUUGUCUAUUGAAAACAUACACGGUAAAUGGUGUUGUUAGGUAGGUUCUGUCCAGUUCUUAGGGACUUUUUUCACAUUAUAGCAUUUUUACCCUAAACAUGAUGUUGAGAUUAUUAUAUACUGUAUUUUCUUCUAAAUUAACCCUAAUGUUUAAAAACUCACUUUCCCCCUUUAAUUGAAGGCAUUGUUUUGUUAGAUGCAGUAAUGAUGUUUACCAGAGAUUAUUGUUUCCUAUGCAAAAUAAAUUUUCAUAUUUUGAAUU